UUAGGGCAAACAAUGUCUCAGUGAUUUAUAAUAACCACAGUGCCUGGAAUGUAAUAGAUGCUCAAUAAAUGUUUGUGAACUGGAACUGUUUGGGCCAUCUGGAGAGCCAUGACCAAUUUGGAGCCCUCGAUUUCGGAGACAUUGACACCAGAGCCUCUCACAGGCCUCUCCAACUAAUGAUCACCAGAAGAUGUGAAGAUGUUUGGCUCGGAGAAGAGGGGACUUAUGGGGACCAGGCCGGGCGUGGUGGUACGCGCCUGUAGCCCUGACUAUUCUGGAGACUAAGGCGGAAAGAUAGCUUGAGCCCAGGAGAUCUAGCCCGCAGGGAGCUGUGACCAUGCCACUGCACUCUAGUGACAGAGUGAGACACUGUCAAAAAAAAAAAAAAGGCGGGGACCCAUGGAGCUUUUAGUUUACUGUCAACAAAAUCCCAAUCAUGUGAUGGCUGUUAAAGUGCUCCUUUCCAUUCUGUACGUUUGUAAUUGACUUUAAAAUAUGUAUAUAUUUAUUUUACAGAAAAGUCAAUGUCAUAAAUAAUGGAAGAGACCGGGCGCAGUGGCACAUGCCUGUAAUCCCAGCACUUUGGGAGGCCAAGGCGGGCAGAUCACGAGGUCAGGAGUUUGAGACCAGCCUGACCAACAUGGUGAAAUCCGGUCUUUACUAAAAAUACAAAAUUUAGCCCGGCAUGUUGCCUGUAAUCCCAGCUACUCGGGAGGCUGAGGCAGGAGAAUCGCUUGAACGUGGGAAGUGGAGGUUGCAGUGAGCUAAGAUCGUGCCUGGGUGACAGAGUGAGACUCCAUCUCAAAUAAAUCAUAAAUAAAGGAAGACUGCAAAGAGGCGUGAAGGUCUCUCCAAAAGCUUGGAAAUAAAAUGAUGAACUCAAGUCUCAGAAAAGAAGGUAGCUUGCCCAAGUCACACGGCCUGGCAGCAUGAUGGAUGAGCAGUGGAAAGCCCUUCUAUGAAACAUGCCAGACCUGUUGCAACCGUAUCUCUCCCAACGGCCCAGAAUUCUGUUUCCCUGAAGACAUACUAAAUCGUGCUCUGGAUUUAUAUGUGGGUGGUGACCUGCCUCUGUGCUCCCAAAGGAGGUCUGUCUACAGAUGCCCAGCAGAGGAAGAAACAGAUGACAACAGGGGGAGGUUUGAACCCUCUUCCCAAGAGCCUUGGAACUUCAUGGAAAGUGACAGCCCUUUAAGAGUUUCCUGACUUCUGCAGAUCCUUCUCUCUUUCCCAAACAGCCUGCCAGUUUUCAGUACACACCUUUCCUGGAGCUGUAUACACCUGGGAGCCCCCCAGCACAUUACCAAAUACUGUAGAAGGAAGUCCAUGAACCACACAUUGACCACAGCGAUACGUCCACCCGGUGAUGGAGUAGUAAAAUACACUCUUGAACGUGCCUCAGGCUGGCCAGUUCACCGGCUCUCAUG